rnacentral:rRNA from 2 species
UUUCUUGUCGAUUCGAUUUUUCCAUCACCGACCCUCAACCGAGGGUGUCGGACAUCGCGACCCGUUUGCUUAGUCGAUGCUUAGGUACGUGAUAAAGUUCGUAUGUGCCAUCGCCUCGGCGGUGGUACGACGAUUACGCGUUACCAAUGCGUCGGCGCAGACGGUAGCUUUGCGCGUGGGUAAUCGGCGCGGUCCUUGCUUGUAUUCUCGUAAUGCAGGCGGUACUCGCGUCGACACCGGUCAGCGAUGAAUUUUCAGGUCUCUUUCCGACCCGUCUUGAAACACGGACCAAGGAGUCUAGCGUGCGCGCGAGUCGCGGGGCAUUCGAAGUGUCGUAGCUGCUUACGCAGCGAAUGCAUUUCGUAAUGAUACUAAACCCGUAUACGUGCAUUGUGCGAAGGCGUAAUGAAAGUGAAAGGCGACGCUUCGUGCGUCGCCAGGGGAAGAUGAUGAUCUGUGUACACGUUUCGCGGUCGAGUAUGUAUCGCGACCAGACAUCCGCAUUCCCAGGGCAUCCUAUCCGUUCGCCUGUGACUGGGGUUCGCCUCGGCCGCAGGUGAAUUGGGGUGCACCUACAGCGUGCACGCUGGUACCCGAAAGAUGGUGAACUAUGCCUGGCCAGGAUGAAGUCAGGGGAAACC